GGGGCAUGCACUACAUAGGAUUACCCGCUGAACUGAAGCAUCUCACUAAGCGGAGGAAAAGGAACUAACUAGGAUUCUCUUAGUAGAGGCGAUCGAAGAGAGAAGAGCCCAGAGUCGAACCAUGCUUGCCUCGGUAAGCGGGGGUGUGACUUGCUGAUUCCUUGUGUGUGCGUCUGGGCAUAAAUAGCGUUGAAUUCUUGCCAUAGAGAGUUUUAGCCUCGUGUUGCCCUUCGAUGCACAUGCAUGGUGUCGGCCAUUGGACGGAGUAAGGUAGAUUGAGAAUUCUGCCCGAAUAGGUGGUACACACCAUCUAAGGCUAAAUAUGUGUGGGAGUCCGAUAGAGGACAAGUAGCGUGAGCGAACGAUGAAAAGCACUUCAAGGCGAAGAGUGAAAAGUACCUGAAAUUGCAUGGGUUAAGGCAUUUAAGCGCUGCGCUGGCGAAAGGCGUCGCGUGAAUGCGCCCGUCUUGUAACACGGAUUGGGGAGUUUAUCUCUGCUGCGAGUGCCUGCACAGUUUAAAAACUUUAACAAAAGCGGCGCGUAAAGGAGUUGACUGUCUCUCGUUGUGGGAGGAUGGAGCUCGAGCAGUAGAGCUAGGACCCGAAAGGCGGUGAACUAUGCCCGUGAAGGAGGAAGCCAGGGGAAACCCUGGUGGACGUCCGCAGCGUUAUUGAUGUGCAAAUCAUUUGUCAUACAUGGGUAUAGGUGCGAAAGACUCAUCGAACCGCCUAAUAGCUGGUUUCCUCCGAAGUUUCCCUCAGGAUAGCCGCAGUGCGUCUCUUAACAAGACAUUAGAGUUGGGGUUUUGAGGUAGAGCAAUGGGUAGAAGUGUAGGGGGGCUACGGUCCCUCAACUUAUUUCCAAACUGCGAACUCCCCCGUUUUGAACUUACCGUAAGGAAGUACAAAAGUAAAUCAGCGCUGUGAGUGGGCUCUGACUGGUAAGCGGUCAGGGCGAAAUGGGUUGAACCAUACGCUGGGCUAAGGAGACUAAGUGUACUGGGAUUGAUACCAUGAAGAGCGUCCAUCUAUUUAGACAGCAGGUCGGUGUCCCUAACAGUAGGCAUCCGUUAAUGAGUGUGUUACAACUCCCCUGCCGAAUAGUCGGGCCUCGAAAAUGAAUGUCGCAUACAGUACCUCCGAUACCCUUAAGCACUCGAUCAUAUUUUAAGUAUAGAUCGAGGAGUAGGAGGAUGCGCGCGCGCCUGCGAAGCUUUCACGUAGGUGGGAGUGGAGGCACGCGUGUUACAGAUCCCAAUUGAAGUAGCGUUUAUCCAGGCUAGCAUCCUGGGGGCUGAUGAGGAGCAGGGUUUCUGGGCGACAUAAACUGGCCCAGAGUUAGUCGGACCUAACCUCAGUAAUCUCGCAAGAGUGGAGGGAAAGGGAGUACGCCAGACAUUGCGUAACUACAAGCGCUAAACGGCAACGUUAGGAUGGGCUGUCCGCCCAAUGUGCACCGAAUGAUAGGGAUCUCUUCCCUAUAUGACGGCUUUUGUAACCGCGGAAACAGGUCAUCUGGCGAAGCGCGCUACAUAGCCGGCAAAGUCCCGCUCGUCGGGGCCUUCGGGUGUUCGUUGGGUCCUUGAAGCCAGGCCACCCGCACUUCAUUCAAGUAGGAGUAGCAGUUUGCACCCGUACCGAUAACCGCAUCAGGUCUCCGAGGUGAGUAGCCUAUGGCCAUUGUGUAAUAACGGCUUAGGGAAUUCGGCCAAUUGGAGUUGUAACUUCGGGAGAAAACUUGGCUGUGGUGGUAACCAUAACCGAUAGUACCUGGGAGAGCCCUCCUGUUUAAUAAAAACGCAGCGAUGCGCUAGUCCUCUUGUGGAUGUGUACGCAUCGUGAAUCCUGCUCAAUGCUGUGUUAGUUAAAGUGUCUAAACGCAACUAAGCGCCGGUCAAUAGCUGGGGUAACUAUGACUCUUAUCAAAGUAGCGAAAUACCUCGUCACUUAAUUAGUGACCUGCAUGAACGGAUCAAAGAGGUUCUCACUGUCCCAAGCCGCUGCACAGCGAACCAACAGAUGUGGCAACGGGCACAUGUUAUCCAGCGGGGCAAGAAGACCCUGUAGAGCUUCACUUUGGUCUGGCUCUGCAUAGUUCCACCGGGGGUGUAGACUAGGGAGGAGGUCUCGAAAGGGGCCGACUAUGAAACACUCCUACCCUGGGCGGAACUAGGCUUAUCCUCAAGUUUGCCAUCCUCAUGAGGAGGCGAUACAGAGGAAACAAGGCCAGAUAGAAAGUUUGGCUGGGGCGGCACACCUUCGAAAAGGCAGCGAAGGUGUCCUAAAUUGAGCUCAGUGAGAACAGAAAACUCACGUGGAGUAUAAGGGCAAAAGCUCAAGUUACUGUGCCUUUUUGUACUAGGACCAGUUUGGAAACAAAGGCCUAACGAUCGUCAAUGUCUCAGUGUGUGAGACUUGGGGUGACAGACAAGUUACCUCCGGGACAACUGGCUUGUGGCCGCUAAGAGUCCAAAUCAACGCGGCUUUUUGAUUCUUCGAUGUCGGCUCUUCCUAUCCUAGAGAUGCACAAGUUUCUAAUGGUUGGAUUGUUCACCCGUAUUAGGGAUCGUGAGCUGGGUUUAGACCGUCGUGAGCCAGGUUUGUUUUAUCCUACUGGAUAUCGC
rnacentral:rRNA from 1 species